GAGUUUGAUUCUGGCUCAGGAUGAACGCUGGCGGCGUGCCUAACACAUGCAAGUCGAGCGAGAAGUAAAGAAAUGAAGCUUCGGUAGAUUUUCAUUAUGGAAAGCGGCGGACGGGUGAGUAACGCGUAGGCAACCUGCCCUGUACAGGGGGAUAGCCACCCGAAAAGGUGAUUAAUACCCCAUGAUGCAAGAGAUACACAUGUAUCACUUGUCAAAGAUUUAUCGGUAUGGGAUGGGCCUGCGUCUGAUUAGCUAGUUGGUAGGGUAACGGCUUACCAAGGCAACGAUCAGUAGCCGACCUGAGAGGGUGAUCGGCCACAUUGGAACUGAGACACGGUCCAAACUCCUACGGGAGGCAGCAGUGGGGAAUAUUGCACAAUGGGGGAAACCCUGAUGCAGCAACGCCGCGUGAAGGAAGAAGGCCUUCGGGUUGUAAACUUCUGUCCUAGGGGAAGAAACAAAUGACA
rnacentral:rRNA from 1 species